rnacentral:rRNA from 1 species
AUGGUGACAAAAGCAAGGAUGGGGAUGGGUGCCCUGACGACUCCAUGCAUGGGACUGAUCCUCGUUUUACUCAGUCUGAGUGGGAUGGGCUUUCUCCUGAAGAUCAAGAUUUGCUCAAGGAGAAUGCGCCUGCUAGUAAGGGGGCCCAGGAUGCGGCGCCUGGCGUGGGUGGAGGGGAUGCGGCUUCGGGUGGGGCUAAAGGCGUGCGACAGGCUCGCUGUGCAAGCGAAGGCCGCCACCCACAUCCGCUUCCUCGACGCCGGCGUCUGCAUCGGCCUCCUCUACCCCGUCUCCAACAUCAUGGCCAACACCCUCGUCACCUCCGACCUCCGCCCCGGCCUCAUGGACAAAGUCCCGGAGGAUACCAAGCCGGGAGAGAUGGACAAGCGCUCACUCGACGGCCUCGCGGCUUUCCUGAUCUACUUCUUCCCAUACCUUGCCGAGGGGAGGCCGUGCGGUACCUACUGGUCGCCGACGCCGACCCUCUCAUCGCUGCGCGCCUGA